UGAUCAGCCACAUUGGGACUGAGACACGGCCCAAACUCCUACGGGAGGCAGCAGUAGGGAAUAUUGCACAAUGGAGGAAACUCUGAUGCAGCGAUGCCGCGUGAGUGAAGAAGGCCCUUGGGUUGUAAAGCUCUUUCGUCGGGGAAGAAAAUGACUGUACCCGAAUAAGAAGGUCCGGCUAACUUCGUGCCAGCAGCCGCGGUAAUACGAAGGGACCUAGCGUAGUUCGGAAUUACUGGGCUUAAAGAGUUCGUAGGUGGUUAAAAAAGUUGGUUGUGAAAUCCCGGGGCUUAACUCCGGAACUGCAAUCAAAACUUUUUAGCUAGAGUAUGAUAGAGGAAAGCAGAAUUUCUAGUGUAGAGGUGAAAUUCGUAGAUAUUAGAAAGAAUACCAAUUGCGAAGGCAGCUUUCUGGAUCAUUACUGACACUGAGGAACGAAAGCAUGGGUAGCGAAGAGGAUUAGAUACCCUCGUAGUCCAUGCCGUAAACGAUGUGUGUUAGACGUUGGAAAUUUAUUUUUAGUGUCGCAGCGAAAGCAAUAAACACACCGCCUGGGGAGUACGACCGCAAGGUUAAAACUCAAAUGAAUUGACGGGGACCCGCACAAGUAGUGGAGCAUGUGGUUUAAUUCGAAGAUACGCGCAGAACCUUACCAACACUUGACAUGUUCGUCGCGACUCUAAGAGAUUAGAGUUUUCGGUUCGGCCGGACGAAACACAGGUGCUGCAUGGCUGUCGUCAGCUCGUGUCGUGAGAUGUUGGGUUAAGUCCCGCAACGAGCGCAACCCUCACUUUUAGUUGCCAUCAUUUAGUUGGGCACUCUGAAAGAACUGCCAGUGAUAAGCUGGAGGAAGGUGGGGAUGACGUCAAGUCCUCAUGGCCCUUACGUGUUGGGCUACA
rnacentral:rRNA from 1 species